AUGUAGCACGCGCACGCUCCGGUUCCCUUCGCGCUGUCCGCACCCAGCCCGACGACCGCUUGCUACGUAGUGUCAGCC
rnacentral:sRNA from 1 species